AUUAAACAGUUGGGGAGCUUGCACGCAGGCUGAGAGUAAGCAUACGCUUUGACCCAUAACCUGAUUUGGAUAAUGCCAACGGAGGGAACCUAUAGUUUUUUACUG
rnacentral:ncRNA from 2 species